CUGAGGGACUCUGGGAGUUGAAGUCCACAAGUCUUAAAGGGACCAAGGUUGGAGACCCCUGCUCUAUAUGUUUUGCCAGAGUGGCUGUGGAAAACAGUGCCUAGAAACUACAGGGAGAUUCCUGGCUACGGACAAGAGCAAGAAUAUCAAAUCAGUUAAGGAUCAUGGAAGUAUGGCAACACAGUAGUUUCAGAAUAAGAUUAAAGGAGAACAACUCUGUGCCACUCCAAUUGCCCCUGUUUAAGAAGAAGCCAAGCCACUGGAGCAUCAGAAUCAAAGCUUUCAGGAAUCUUCCUCAGGAAAGCAAGAAAACGAUAAGGAUUUGACCUCAUAGCUUGCUCUGGAGACAUCCAUUCCAUGAUGGAGCCUGACCAACCAAGCAAAAGUCCCCAGUGUACAACACAGCGUCAACCUAUGCUCAAACAUUUUACUUCUUUGCGACUCUAAUGCUUAAAGCAUGUUAUCAGGUUUAAACAGGCAAAGAAGAUUCUUGGCUGCUGCUCAGCAAUUUCCCAUCAUUUAUAUAGCAGUGAAGAUGCAAUAAGAAGAAGAAAUGCUUCUUCUUAUUUCAGCAGUUGGGUGUACAAGGAAUAUAAAUAUAAUUUAUGUGCCCAAGGUCCCCAUAAAACAGCAAAUAAAGUAAGCAUCAGAAAAGAUGAAGAUGACAUUUAACCAUGUCAUCCUAUGUCAUGAUUUGAUGAUGAAAUCAAAUCAAAUGAGUCAUUUGUUGAUGAAGGCAUUUCUAUUACCAAACUUCAAAGUAAUGGUCAAAGUAAUGAAUUCCCACCUCAACCUCAGCACAUUCAAGUUGCUGAG